rnacentral:rRNA from 1 species
GAUGAACGCUAGCUACAGGCUUAACACAUGCAAGUCGAGGGGCAGCAUGAAUAUCGGCUUGCCGAUAUUUGAUGGCGACCGGCGCACGGGUGCGUAACGCGUAUCCAACUUUCCCGUUACUCUCGGAUAGCCUUCCGAAAGGGAGAUUAAUACGAGAUGGGGUCUUUAUUUCGCAUGUUAUGAAGACUAAAAAUUUAUUGGUAACGGAUACGGAUGCGUGACAUUAGAUAGUUGGCGGGGUAACGGCCCACCAAGUCUACGAUGUCUAGGGGUUCUGAGAGGAAGGUCCCCCACACUGGAACUGAGAGACGGGCCAGACUCCUACGGGAGGCAGCAGUGAGGAAUAUUGGUCAAUGGCUGAGAGGCUGAACCAGCCAAGUAGCGUGAAGGAUGAAGGUUCUAUGGAUUGUAAACUUCUUUUAUACGGGAAUAACAUCACCUACGUGUAGGUGCCUGCAUGUACCGUAUGAAUAAGCAUCGGCUAACUCCGUGCCAGCAGCCGCCGUAAUAC